GCCUAAAGGCUUCCAAGAAAAACCUCUAAGCUUCAGAUUAUAAGAACCCGUACCGUAAACCGACACAGGUAGUCGAGGAGAGUAUCCUAAGGCGCUCGAGUGAUCCGUGGCUAAGGAACUAGGCAAAAUCGACUCGUAACUUCGGGAGAAGAGUCGCCCCCUGUGAGGGGGGCCGCAGUGAAAAGGCCCAGGCGACUGUUUAACAAAAACACAGGACUCUGCCAAAUCGAAAGAUGAAGUAUAGGGUCUGACACCUGCCCGGUGCUGGAAGGUUAAGGA
rnacentral:rRNA from 11 species